AUGAGGCGAGCUCCCGGGACCAGAGCUCCAGGGGGCAUCCCAGGACUCCGAGGAACCAGAGUCAGCUGCCAUGACCCCAUCGCGCUCCCAACUCAAAGCAAAGCCCGAGGAAAACCCAACUCCCGGGACCACCUCCUCGAGAGACGCCUCUCCAGCUCCGCACUCCUUUAACCAAACAAACCACCCCAAUCAUAGUCCAGGAAGAACCUCCAGUUAUAUCUCAGGCUACCGUUGCCCUUUCCCGCUUUCUCCUAGGCACAGCCUUCCACGCGAGUCCCCUCUGCACCCGGGACCUGGGAGCACACUGAACAGGAAAACAAACCGAAACUCACUGACCUCUCUCAGCAGCAGGCUCGGCUCUGUUACGCCGCCGGCGGCUGCAGCAACGUCGGAAGCAUCCCGGGGGUCCGCACUGCCCGCUGCGCUCUGCUAGACGAGCGCUGAGGGCCGGCUGCUGCCUGCUCCUCCCGCCGCAGGUUGCGGGGCAGCGCGGGCAGAGUGGCGGCAGCGCCUCCCGCAGCCCAGCCCUGCUCGUCUCUCCUUUGGCUUCAGGCGGCGCCCUCCACCUGCCCGGCUGUCCUCCGCCUCCACGAUCGGACACCCGCCGCCAGGCACCGGACACUGAGCGGAAGCUUUUGGUGUCACCCCCAGAGACCCAAGCACUGAAGGGAGCGGGAGGCUGAGUGAGCUCUGCUCCGCGGACCGCCCCUCCCCGGCGGCUCCACCCCCUCCCGCACUCCACCCGGCAGCUUGGCCGGCACGUCCGACUGUCUGUCUGUCGGUCGGUCCCCAGUGGCCAACCUCUUGGUGUGGGUGGGGAAGCAGGGACGCGCCCUCUACCCACCGUAGACCAGCGAGCACCUGGACCGAGCACGGAAGGAGGACCUGAACGGUAUCAGACCCAGAGCUAUCUAAGGACAAUGUUAUCUCAUCUCAAAAAGAAAAGAAAAGAAAAGAAGAGAAGAGAAGAGAAGAGAAGAGAAGAGAAGAGAAGAGAAGAGAAAGAAAGAAAAGAAGAAGAAAAAUAGCAAAGUAUUUUGAGUACUUC
rnacentral:lncRNA from 1 species